CAGGGCCCUGCCUUUUAAGGCCUUCUGCCCUUCCUGUAAGCAAACAUGGAGCACAAAAUGAACAGUGACCCUAACUCAGCACUCUUCUCACUGCUAUGGACACAUUUCAGAGAGUGAAAGCUGAGAUUGUCUUGUAAUCAAAUGACUUCAGGAGCUGGUGCUUUGAAAAAAAACAACAAAUAUUGUGAGACACGUAAUAAAAUCACAAGAGUUGGCAGUACUGGAGUUUUAUCCUUAAAUCUGUAUAUCCUAGGUUUCAAGAAGAGGAAACUUUCAGAUGUAUCAGAUGGAAAACAGAUGUCUUUUACCUUUUCAUCUGAGUUUUAAAAUGCCAUAUUUGCAAAUCAUCACAGAUAAUUGUGUUUAAACCUGAGUUUUCAUCUUCCCAGCCCAUUUUCUCUUCAUACUUGAUCCUGUAAUGAAAUCAUUACACUGAAUUUAUGACAUCACAUUCACUCCAUGGCAACAAAGUGUGAUGUUUACCAACCACGGGGAUUAAGGUGACAUCACCACAGAAUCCAACUGCCAGAGAAGGUGCAUUGUGAGGAAAAAGCAUUUACUUCAGACACAAAUAUCUGAAACCAUUUCAAAGGAAAAAGAUGAAAUUACAGUAGGAAAAAAUUCACGUUGGACACCAUCUGUUAUCACCAGUACCACUGCACUGCAUUACAAGUUACUGAUUAAAGAAAUACCUGACAGUGAGGGGCUAUUUUCACUCCCUGAAACUGAAUGGAAUAAUAAUUGUAUGUACUCAAUUGAUAUGUAACUCAGGAUGUCUCUAGUAUGCAAACCCCUGGAAGAGCGUCCCUCUGCAGUAUCCUGUCACUGUCACUGGACACUCACAGUGAGCAGACAUUACUAUCGCGAGAGACGUGAUGUACAACUGUGAAAGAUCUGCCUUGCAUACUGAAAUCAACAAAGACCAAGAAGUUCAAAGAAAACAUAAUAGUCAACCUGUUCCUGUUCUAAGUGUCUCAGAUGUCUCUGGCCAGUUAAUAUUGCUAUAUACUUGGACUCUUCUUUCCUGUGUUUAUUGUGUGCCUCCAAUCUACAGCUUUACAAUAAUUCACUUAUAGGAAAAUGGAGAAAUAGCCAGCCCCAAGGCUCUUUUAGCAUGGUACUCAGAGUUAUACCAUUAUGUGGAAGACAUUCUGUACAUAAUUGAAAAGAAACUAUUUGAAAUAUAAUAGCCCAACUGCAUCUGAGUAAGUUAUUGCUUCACAACUGCUAACGAUAACCUGUAUUGCACUUGUUGUAAUAUUUAUGCCUGUAGAUGUAAUACAUUGCAACAAUUCAUAUCUAUUAUAGACAUGAAGGCAUAAAUGGGUUUAAUCAGACAUGUAAUUAUUUUUAUGCCUCCAACUCAAAAAUAUGCAUAAAUGAAUUUAUGGUUAUUUGGCAAUCACUGGGAAUAGUGUUUAUAAAUGUUGAAACAGCUGUUGGCAAAUGUAUGUGCAAAAGCAAGGAAAACAGCUUUUCACACCUAUUAGUCAAGUUAGCAAUAAACUACUCUUCCUUAUUUAAUACCUUAGGGCCAGAUUCUGAGCUUAUCUACACCACUGUAAAUUCAAAGCAACUUUUCUUAAAUCAGUCUAUUUACUCUGAAUUUGUGGGAGUGUAAGCGAUAUCAGACUUUGGUCCCAAAUCUUUGAAUAGUUGUUUCAUCAUCCUUGAUAUUGUCUGUAAAUAUGAACACAUAUAACAGCAAUUUCCUGUGGGAUCGAGAGAAUAUUUAAUUAAAUGAGGAUUUACUAUACAUUUCUCUGCCUUAACUCUUUCAGUUUAAUUUCAUAGUUGAAGUAAUCCAUUUUGGUCGUGUUUCAGCAAAGCACUUAAAACUCUGUUUAAAGCUAAUUGCAUGCUUAUAUAUUUUGCUGAACAGAGAUGGAUUUAAUUAUGUGCUUAAAAUUAAGCACAUGCUUAAAUGCUUUGCUGAAUCAGGGCCAUUAUGCUGUCUUGCUUGGUCAUUCUCAUUUACUGUGUUAUUUGUGGUACAUUCUACUUUACACAGAACACAUUCAUUUAAAAUAAUGGAUGAUGAUAUAUAUAGUUCUGUCAAGUAUGUGAAAUCUGGCAUCUGUUUGAAUUUCUCACAGAUAACUGUGUGCUGGUAUACUGUAAAGUUUUACACUGUAACAAGUAAAGCUAAUCCUCUGAAUACAUAGUUAGAUUAUUCCACACAAUAAAUUGCAUUUUAGUCUAUCCUGUACAAAUAAUCCAGAAACAUCUAAUUUGCUCUUUUUUCUUCCAAUUUUAGAUUUGAAUUUUGUAAUUUUGAUUUGACAAGAACUAAUAACAGUGGAACUGAAAUGUUCUGUAAACUAGCAUGUUAAAUUUUAUCUGAAGGAAACACCAGCUUAGGCAAUAUUUUGCAUUUUUUGAAUUCUAUAUUGAGCAGGUUUUUUGCACUGAAUUGUCCAGUUGUAAAGCAUUUUGUGUUAUAAUGUUAAGGCAGCAAACAGACAACUUCUUUUUGCUGUAUAUGUGAACUUUGAAUUAAAAGUAUGUUCCACUUUACAGUGUUUAAAGGAUAGCUACCAACUAACACUGUGUACUCCACAGAUUUAACAAUCUCUAAAAGCUGACUCUCUCAAAUGAUGGGUUUCUCUUUAAUUCGUGUAUUGUGUGCUAUUGUAGAGAUCAGUAACAUUUUCAAUAAAUUAUAC